GAUGAACGCUGGCGGCGUGCUUAAUACAUGCAAGUCGAACGGACAGGCCCCUUUCUUGGUACUCUGGCGGUGAACGCGUGAGUAACACGAGCGCAACCUUCCCCUGCCUUUGGGAUAACUUCAGCUUACUGGGGCCAAUACCGAUUACGAAUCCUUGCUUAAAGGUGGUGGUUGGAAAGCUUCGGGGGGUUUUGCUGGCCUUGCGACUUAUCAGCUUGCUGGAGGGGUUGUGGCUUACCAAGCCUUCGACGCGAAGCGGGCCUGCGUGGGCGACCUGCCACACUGACACUGAGAGACGGCACAGACUGCGAAGGGUGGCAGCAGGGGGGAAUCUUGCACGAUGAGCGGAAGGCUAGUGCAGCAGCGCCUCGGGCGGGAUAACGCCCUUCGGGUGGUAAACCGCUUUCGGCAGGAGCGAAGCUUGUGGUGACGGUACCUGCAGAAGAAGCACCGGCUAACUACGUG
rnacentral:rRNA from 1 species